UUGCAGGUGAGACCAGAGUGGAAGAUAAUGGUGUUUAGAAUUGAGAGAAAUUAAAGUGAAUAUCUUAAAAGUUAUACAGAACACACAAGGAUAGCCCUUAAUUGUACCAUACAGUCACUAGGAUCUAGAAUUCAGAGUGUGGAGAUAACAAAAUCAGACACUGAAGUAAAAUUAAAGGAAAAAACUGAGAAAACUAUGAAAAGAUUUGGAAGAAGAGAAGGCAAUGAGAAGUAAUCUAGAGGUCUCUGUGAAUGGCAAGACUCGACCGGCUCCUCCCAGGACAAAGUUCUGCUGGGAUCAGGAAAAUCUGUGGAGCAAAUUCAACAGCACUUCAACUUUCUACUUUUCCUAUCAGCGAGACAUCUGUCAAAAGGAAAUCUCUGGCUGCACUUAUCAGGUUGGGUUCCUGUCAAGCUCAUCGUAUUGACAGCUCUUCCCACAAAAUACUGUGCUCCAUUUUAACAGUCAGCAAGAACAGCAUUUAGAAAGAACUGCCCAGACCUUGAGACCCUUAUCCUAACAAAUGGAGUUUAGCUGACUUGAAUAAAUACGUUUUAAAAGAAAGGAGAUACUGUAAAA